rnacentral:rRNA from 1 species
AUUGAACGCUGGCGGCAUGCCUUACACAUGCAAGUCGAACGGCAGCACGGGAGCAAUCCUGGUGGCGAGUGGCGAACGGGUGAGUAACAUAUCGGAACGUGCCCAGUAGUGGGGGAUAACCCGGCGAAAAGCCGGACUAAUACCGCAUACGACCUACGGGUGAAAGCAGGGGAUCGCAAGACCUUGCGCUAUCGGAGCGGCCGAUAUCAGAUUAGCUUGUUGGUGGGGUAAAAGCCUACCAAGGCGACGAUCUGUAGCUGGUCUGAGAGGACGACCAGCCACACUGGGACUGAGACACGGUCCAGACUCCUACGGGAGGCAGCAGUGGGGAAUUUUGGACAAUGGGCGCAAGCCUGAUCCAGCCAUUCCGCGUGCAGGAUG